AUGGAGAACAGUGAGGGGAAAACUCUAUAUUCAGGAGCUACAAACUGCAAGCUGCUGGUGCAACAUUACAUGUGGCACCGUACAACUUGGAUAUUGGCAAGGCAUCACUACAGAGCUCAGGAAUGCCCUCUCUACUUCCCUGAAGCAUUUCUCCUGAGCAAGCACAUGACAUACUCCAUCACCACUGCAUUGAAGGGAAGCAUGAUCCGGCCGUGGCAUGUGAACCCAAACUCUUCCUUGGACAUCCUUAGUAGCUCGCCGAAGAUUGUCUUGCCGAGGUACGCCAAGGGGACCUCGAAUCGCCUCCCAUCAGUCGUGUACAUGAUGCAGUGGCCUUUAUCUGCGACCGGCGAUGAUGUGCAGCAUGCUUCGUCAUCUCUGGAUGUUGCCUUGACCCUUUGGCACUUCCUCACAAACUGA
rnacentral:rRNA from 1 species